rnacentral:rRNA from 1 species
GAUGAACGCUGGCGGCGUGCCUAAUACAUGCAAGUCGAGCGAACGGACCAUAAUUUUGCUUCUCUGAUGUUUGCCGCGGACGUGUGAUUAACACGUGUAUAACCUACCUAUAUUACUGGUAUAACUUCGGGAAACCGGAUCUAAUACCGUAUGAUAUUUUGAACCGCAUGGUUCAAAAGUGAAAGUCGGUCUUGCUGUCACUUAUAGAUGUAUCCGCGCUGCAUUAGCUAGUUGGUAAGGUAACGGCUUACCAAGGCAACGAUGCAUAGCCGACCUGAGAGGGUGAUAGGCGACACUGGAAGUGAGGCACGGUCCAGACUCCUACGGGAGGCAGCAGAAGGGAAUAUUACGCAAUGGGGGAAAGCAUGACAGAGCAAAGCGGAGUGAGUGAUGAAGGUGUUAGGAUCGUAAAAAUAUGUUAGUAGGGAAGAACAUAUGUGUAAGUAAAUGUGCAGAUAUUGACGGUACCUAAUAAGAAAGCAACGGCUAACUACGUG